UCCACAGAACCGAUAGCGAACAAGUACCGUGAGGGAAAGUUGAAAAGCACUCUGGAGAGAGAGUCAAAAGACCGUGAAACCGCUCAGAGUAUAAGCCCAUGGCAGCUUGGAAGGCAUAUCGCUAGCGGGGCAUCGGUCUUCCUUCACGGGGAGCUGGUGUUACCUUGCUUCUGUUGUGGCUCGUCACGGUAGGGGGGUCAAGUCCACAUCCCGCCGACGUGUGGGGAGUUCUCGGGCGUGUUGGGUUUUUCGGUCGGCUUCGGUUGGCCGUUUCAGCCCUUCGCGCUUGGUUCUCUUUCAACACGGACGUUCAGACUCAGAGGCAAGACGCGAUAAACAGCCCACCACGGCACGUUGUGAGGUCACCCACAGGCUCAACUUUUGAUUGUGGUCCUUGACGCCGAGCAAGCACAAUGCGUGUCGUAGAUGUUCCUAACCAGGCGUCGUUGCCAGGAUCGUGGAACGACACGCGCUCAACAGUCAGGAUCGGGCGAUGACAGAGUUCUGGUAUGAUCCUCUUGCGACGAGCCGGCUUCUGGCCAAAUUCCGAUGCUCAGGUCUCUCGCAUGUGCCGCGGGAGAUCGCCUCGACGGUCUGGACCUCUCACGAGUCCUCUCAGUCGGGCAACGGAAAGAGUGGUGUAAAGUCCAAGCCCAUCGGUCACGUCUCGAAACACGGGCCAAGGA
rnacentral:rRNA from 1 species